CCUACGAGAGGCAGCCGUGAGGAAUAUUGGUCAAUGGACGAGAGUCUGAACCAGCCAAGUAGCGUGAAGGAUGACUGCCCUAUGGGUUGUAAACUUCUUUUAUAUGGGAAUAAAACGAUCCACGUGUGGCUUUUUGUAUGUACUUUAUGAAUAAGGAUCGGCUAACUCCGUGCCAGCAGCCGCGGUAAUACGGAGGAUCCGAGCGUUAUCCGGAUUUAUUGGGUUUAACGGGAGCGUAGGUGGUUUGUUAAGUCAGUUGUGAAAGUUUGCGGCUCAACCGUAAAAUUGCAGUUGAAACUGGAAGUCUUGAGUACAUUAGAGGUAGGCGGAAUUCGUGGUGUAGCGGUGAAAUGCUUAG
rnacentral:rRNA from 1 species